AGGAUGAACGCUGGCGGUCUGCUUAACACAUGCAAGUCGAACGGAGUAGCAAUACUUAGUGGCGGACGGGUGAGUAACGCGUGAGAAUCUACCUUCAGGACGGAGACAACAGUUGGAAACGACUGCUAACCCCCGAUGUACCGAAAGGGCAAAUAUUUAUAGCCUGAAGAAGAGCUCGCGUCCGAUUAGCUAGUUGGAGAGGUAAAAAGCUCACCAAGGCGACGAUCGGUAGCU
rnacentral:rRNA from 1 species